UACGUAGGGUGCAAGCGUUGUCCGGAAUUAUUGGGCGUAAAGAGCUCGUAGGUGGUCUAUCACGUCGGAUGUGACACCCUGAGGCUCAACCUCAGGCCUGCAUUCGAUACGGGCAGACUAGAGUGUGGUAGGGGAGACUGGAAUUCCUGGUGUAGCGGUGAAAGGCGCAGAUAUCAGGAGGAACACCGGUGGCGAAGGCGGGUCUCUGGGCCAUUACGGACACUGAGGAGCGAAAGCGUGGGGAGCAGACAGG
rnacentral:rRNA from 1 species